GUGAAUCAUCAAAUUUUUGAACGCAAAUUGCACUCUCUUCGGAGAGUAUGCCUGUUUGAGGGUCAGUAUUAAUAAAAAUCGGUGUGUUGCUUCUUUUUGACUCUCCGGAGUUUGGGUUAUCUUAAUAUCCUUUAGGUUUUAAGAGGCUUACAAUUGACUUUUUUUUCACAUUUUAGAUGUCCAUAAAUUAUUUUUUUAUUCGUCUGCCUUAAUUUUCAAAUUCCUAUUAGAUCCGACCAGAUCGUGUGCUUUCGUGUCUAU
rnacentral:misc_RNA from 1 species